GGGCCUACGGGAGCCAGCAGUGGGGAAUCUUGGACAAUGGGCGCAAGCCUGAUCCAGCCAUGCCGCGUGAGUGAUGAAGGCCUUAGGGUCGUAAAGCUCUUUCGCCAGAGAUGAUAAUGACAGUAUCUGGUAAAGAAACCCCGGCUAACUCCGUGCCAGCAGCCGCGGUAAUACGGAGGGGGUUAGCGUUGUUCGGAAUUACUGGGCGUAAAGCGCGCGUAGGCGGGCUAGUAAGUUAGAGGUGAAAUCCCAGGGCUCAACCCUGGAACUGCCUUUAAUACUGCUAGUCUUGAGUUCGAGAGAGGUGAGUGGAAUUCCGAGUGUAGAGGUGAAAUUCGUAGAUAUUCGGAGGAACACCAGUGGCGAAGGCGGCUCACUGGCUCGAUACUGACGCUGAGGUGCGAAAGUGUGGGGAGCAAACAGGAUUAGAUACCCUGGUAGUCCACACCGUAAACGAUGAAUGCCAGUCGUCGGGUAGCAUGCUAUUCGGUGACACACCUAACGGAUUAAGCAUUCCGCCUGGGG
rnacentral:rRNA from 1 species